rnacentral:rRNA from 1 species
CUACGGGGGGCAGCAGUUAGGUAUAAUCUACAAUGCGCGCAAGCGUGAUAGUUUGAGCCAGAGUGCGUUUCUAUUGAAAUGCUUUUGUGAAAUGUAGAAAGUUUCGCGAAUAAGGACUGGGUAAGACAGGUGCCAGCCGCCGCGGUAAUACCUGCGGUCCAAGUCGCAGCCAUUUUUAUUGGGUCUAAAACAUCCGUAGCUUGUUUUGUAAGUUUCUUGUGAAAUAUUAUGUCUUAAACAUAAUGCGGGCAAGAAGUACUGCAGAACUAGAGACAGGGAGACGUAAGAGUAUGUUCAAAGUAGCGGUAAAAUGCUUUAAUCUUGGACAGACUAACAACAGCGAAGGCACUUUACGAGAACUGUUCUGACAGUAAGGGAUGAAGGCUAGGGGCGCAAAACGGAUUAGAUACCCCGGUAGUC